rnacentral:rRNA from 1 species
AUUGAACGCUGGCGGCAGGCCUAACACAUGCAAGUCGAACGAGUGGCGGACGGGUGAGUAAUGUCUGGGAAAAUGCCCGAUGGAGGGGGAUAACUACUGGAACCGGUAGCUAAUACCGCAUACCAUCGGAUGUGCCCAGAUGGGAUUAGCUAGUAGGUGGGGUAACGCCACACCUAGGCGACGAUCCCUAGCUGGUCUGAGAGGAUGACCAGCCACACUGGGAAUGAGACACGGUCCAGACUCCUAAGGGAGGCAGCAGUGGGGAAUAUUGCACAAUGGGCGAAAGCCUGAUGCAGCCAUGCCGCGUGUAUGAAGAAGGCCUUCGGGUUGUAAAGUACUUUCAGCGGGGAGGCGUUACCCGCAGAAGAAUCACCGGCUAACUCCGUGCCAGCCGCCGCGGUAAUUC